rnacentral:rRNA from 2 species
UAGGGAAUCUUCGGCAAUGGGGGGAACCCUGACCGAGCAACGCCGCGUGAGUGAAGAAGGUUUUCGGAUCGUAAAGCUCUGUUGUUAAGGAAGAACGAGUGUGAGAAUGGAAAGUUCAUGCUGUGACGGUACUUAACCAGAAAGGGACGGCUAACUACGUGCCAGCAGCCGCGGUAAUACGUAGGUCCCGAGCGUUGUCCGGAUUUAUUGGGCGUAAAGCGAGCGCAGGCGGUUAGAAAAGUCUGAAGUGAAAGGCAGUGGCUCAACCAUUGUAGGCUUUGGAAACUGUUUAACUUGAGUGCAGAAGGGGAGAGUGGAAUUCCAUGUGUAGCGGUGAAAUGCGUAGAUAUAUGGAGGAACACCGGUGGCGAAAGCGGCUCUCUGGUCUGUAACUGACGCUGAGGCUCGAAAGCGUGGGAAGCGAACAGG